AGUGAACGCUGGCGGUAGGCCUAACACAUGCAAGUCGAACGGCAGCACAGUAAGAGCUUGCUCUUACGGGUGGCGAGUGGCGGACGGGUGAGGAAUACAUCGGAAUCUACUUUUUCGUGGGGGAUAACGUAGGGAAACUUACGCUAAUACCGCAUACGACCUACGGGUGAAAGCAGGGGAUCUUCGGACCUUGCGCGAUUGAAUGAGCCGAUGUCGGAUUAGCUAGUCGGCGGGGUAAAGGCCCACCAAGGCGACGAUCCGUAGCUGGUCUGAGAGGAUGAUCAGCCACACUGGAACUGAGACACGGACCAGACUCCUACGGGAGGCAGCAGUGGGGAAUAUUGGACAAUGGGCGCAAGCCUGAUCCAGCCAUACCGCGUGGGUGAAGAAGGCCCUCGGGUUGUAAAGCCCUUUUGUUGGGAAAGAAAAGCAGCAGGUUAAUACCCCGCUGUUCUGACGGUACCCAAAGAAUAAGCACCGGCUAACUUCGU
rnacentral:rRNA from 1 species